UACGUAGGGUGCAAGCGUUGUCCGGAAUUAUUGGGCGUAAAGAGCGUGUAGGCGGCCCCAUUAGUCCGCUGUGAAAGUCCGGGGCUCAACCUCGGAUCGGCCGUGGCGACUCGUGGGCUGGAGCACUGUAGAGGCGGGUGGAAUUCCGGGUGUAGCGGUGGAAUGCGUAGAGAUCCGGAAGAACACCAGUGGCGAAGGCGGCCCGCUGGGCAGUGGCUGACGCUGAGGCGCGACAGCGUGGGGAGCAAACAGG
rnacentral:rRNA from 1 species